CCUCAAAGAUGAUGAGGUUAAUAGGUUCGAGGUGGAAGCAUGGUGACAUGUGGAGCUGACGAAUACUAAUCGAUCGAAGACUUAAUCAA
rnacentral:rRNA from 1 species